AUGCAGCUGCCCCCCGCUCUCGCCGCCCUCGGUGGGCAGGGUGCCGCCCUCCGCUCCUCCGGGCUGGUCCUUGGCAGCCAGGACCGCCGGGGCCGGCUGCAUUCCCUGACUCAGGUGCAGCACAGAGGGGGCCUGGCCCAUCACCCCGUGCUGCGGAAAGUGCUGGAUCGGGGGCUGCCCCUGGCCCAGCCCCAGGAGGCCCUGCUGGGCCGCUGCCCCCGAGUUCUGCUGCUGCGGGGCCAGCAGCGCCCGUGCCUGCCCCAGCUGCUGGGACAGCACGAGCCGGUGGCCCAGCAUCCCCGGAGUCUGUGGCGAACCCAGCACCCGCUGCUGGUGGGGGGCCAGCAGGACCUGCCGCUGGGGUGGGGGGUGGCCCAGCACCGCCUGGUGCUGCAGCCCCGGCGCGUGGCCCAGCAAGCCCGACUGCUGCUGCUGCUGCUGCUGCUGCUGCUGCUGGCUCUGCUGCGGCUGCGCCAGGGCCACCUGCACGCCGUGGGGGGCUGCCAGGACGUGGGGCUGCCCGGAGGCCAUGCCCAUGUGGGGGCCCAGCGCCGGACCCUGCUGGGGGGUCCCAAGCCGCGGGGGCUGCGGUGGCAUCAACUGCGGCCUGGCCACCAGCCCCAGCUGCAGGGGGGGCUGCGGGGUGCCCAGGCGGGGUGGCUGCGCGUCCAUGGGCUGCGCGGCCGCGUGCAGCAUGGGGUGCCCCGGGGCGGGGAGUUGCGGGGUUCCCCGCGGCAGGUGGGCCGACAUCUGCUGCUUCUUCUGCAGCUCCUUCUUCUCGUGCUCCAGGAGGUCCUCGAUGAGCAGGGGCAGCUCGCUGGCCACCAAGGAACUCUCCAUCUUGUCCAGCUCGUCGGCCGGCGAGUGCCGCGCGCUGCCCAGCCCCAGCGCCCCGCUGUCCAGCUCGAAUUUCUCCAACAAGGGGUUGCUCUGGUUGCCCAGCUGGGCAGGGGCCAGCCCGCGCCCGGUGCCAGCGUACGGGUCCUUCUCCAACGUGGAGCUGCUGUUUGGGAAAUGAGUCAAGCCGAGGCGAGCGGGGCCAGUGCUGGGGCUCAGGAGGCUCUGGCUCGGUUUGAGGCUCAGCCCCAGCGACGCAGAGAUCUUAUCCGUGCCCUGCAGGGCCUCCGACUUGACAGGGAGCCGCUCGGAGCCGCCGGCGGUGAAUUGACAAGGUGAGGUCUUCAAGCACCCAUCCUCCAGUUUGGGUUUGACGUCGGUGGGCAGCGCGGUCGCCUUCGCCUCCAGAGCUUGUGGCUUGAAAGUUGGGUCGGGGGGCAGCGCCGCGCCGGGCACCAGCCCCUCUUUGGGCACAUCGCGGUCCUCCGCCGCUGGCGCCGCGUCUUUGCCAUCCCCGGGGUCAGGGAGCUUCAAGCUGGGUCCCGUUGGCUCCGUCUUGAGCUGUGCCUCGCGCUCAGCCUUCUCGUUGGCCGACUCGACCAGGCGGAGGUGCUCGUUGAAGAUGUCCUUCUUGUCUCCGGUGUCCAGCUCGGGGUCGGUGUAAGCCAGCAGGUCGAACUCGUCGCCGUUCAGCAGGUCGUCCAGGUGAGGGUCCGCCGUCUCCAGGCUGUCCAGGUUGCCCAAAUCAUCGUCCCCUUUGGCCACGUCCGGAUCCAGGCUCAGGUUUGCCAAAUCGUCGUCGUCUUCCAAAUCCUUGUGGGAGCCGAAGUCGUCGUCCAAGUCGGGCUCCACCGGCACCUCGCAGGGCAGCCGCCCGCCCUCCAGGCUCAGGUGGCUUUUCCCCGGGGCCGGGGUCGGAGCCGUGCCAUCCUUGGUGCCGUCGGGGCGCAGGGCAGAGCCGGAAGACAGCGGGCGCGGGGGGACGUGCUGCAGCUCCAGGCCAGGGGUGGGCAGCGGGGCGGGGGGCACCGCUUUGGCGUGCAGCUGGUGGUGGCUGUUGCUCAUCUCGGUGCCUUGCGGCGAGGCGGGAGGCAGCGGCACCACCGGCAUCUUUUGGGGCUGCAGCGCCGGAGCGGGGAGCGCCUGCAUGGGCACCACUGGGGCACAGAGGGGCUGCGGGGUGCUCUCCUCCCCGGGCAGGAAAAAGCGAGGCCGGGGGGGUUGGGGGGUGAAAGGGGAACCCACGAUCCCGCCGGGUCCCUUCUGCACGUUGUGUCGCAGCUCGAUGAAGGGUGCGCCCAGGGUGCCGGGGGAUGCGGGCACCGGUUCGGCGGGUGCU
ensembl:lncRNA